rnacentral:rRNA from 1 species
UACGUAGGUGGCAAGCGUUGUCCGGAAUCACUGGGCGUAAAGCGCGCGCAGGCGGCGAUCUACGUCUGGGGUGAAAGCCCGGAGCUCAACUCCGGGACUGCCUUGGAUACGGGAUCGCUUGAGGAUUGGAGAGGCAAGGGGAAUUCCCGGUGUAGCGGUGAAAUGCGCAGAGAUCGGGAGGAACACCAAUGGCGAAAGCAGGUAACUGGACUAUUACUGACACUCAGCUGCGAAAGCUAGGGGAGCAAACAGG